rnacentral:rRNA from 1 species
CAUCAGCCGCGGUAAUACGUAGGGUGCGAGCGUUAAUCGGAAUUACUGGGCGUAAAGCGUGCGCAGGCGGUUCGUUAAGACAGAUGUGAAAUCCCCGGGCUUAACCUGGGAACUGCAUUUGUGACUGCAAGGCUAGAGUACGGCAGAGGGGGAUGGAAUUCCGCGUGUAGCAGUGAAAUGCGUAGAUAUGCGGAGGAACACCGAUGGCGAAGGCAAUCCCCUGGGCCUGUACUGACGCUCAUGCACGAAAGCGUGGGGAGCAAACAGGAUUAGAUACCCCCGUAGUCCCUGUCUCUUAUAC